rnacentral:rRNA from 1 species
CCGGGGUUGCGGACAGUGUCUGGUGGGUAGUUUGACUGGGGCGGUCUCCUCCUAAAGAGUAACGGAGGAGCACGAAGGUUGGCUAAUCCUGGUCGGACAUCAGGAGGUUAGUGCAAUGGCAUAAGCCAGCUUGACUGCGAGCGUGACGGCGCGAGCAGGUGCGAAAGCAGGUCAUAGUGAUCCGGUGGUUCUGAAUGGAAGGGCCAUCGCUCAACGGAUAAAAGGUACUCCGGGGAUAACAGGCUGAUACCGCCCAAGAGUUCAUAUCGACGGCGGUGUUUGGCACCUCGAUGUCGGCUCAUCACAUCCUGGGGCUGAAGUAGGUCCCAAGGGUAUGGCUGUUCGCCAUUUAAAGUGGUACGCGAGCUGGGUUUAGAACGUCGUGAGACAGUUCGGUCCCUAUCUGCCGUGGGCGCUGGAGAACUGAGGGGGGCUGCUCCUAGUACGAGAGGACCGGAGUGGACGCAUCACUGGUGUUCGGGUUGUCAUGCCAAUGGCACUGCCCGGUAGCUAAAUGCGGAAGAGAUAAGUGCUGAAAGCAUCUAAGCACGAAACUUGCCCCGAGAUGAGUUCUCCCUGACUCCUUGAGAGUCCUGAAGGAACGUUGAAGACGACGACGUUGAUAGGCCGGGUGUGUAAGCGCAGCGAUGCGUUGAGCUAACCGGUACUAAUGAACCGUGAGGCUUAACCUU